UAUUGAGCUUGUUGUUGCUUUCUAUGGCUGCCUUCUUGUCGGUCUCGUUCCUGUUCCCGUGUGACCUCUAUCUCCAUUGAACAUUGCAACGACAUUACCAACAGUCAAAAUGAUCGUCGAAGUCAGCAAGUCAGUUGCCAUUCUAACAAUUCAACGUAUCACCAAACUGCUGAGGACAAAAGAGGCUACCAGCACACUCGAUGUGAAGUCUCUCCCACCUAUUCUUGAGACGGACGAUCCACAGAAGAGGAAGCUUGACAAGUUUUAUCGUGCACCAACACCAGAGAUGAUUGCAUACUUGGAUUUCAGUGUUUCAACCACCGGUGUGCUCUCAGGAGUCAAAAUGUCUCAUCCAGCUUGUGACUUAUCACGGCGACUCAGACGAGGAGGACGCGAACUCGAAGACAAAAAUCAGUGACGACAGCGAACCAGACAAUUCCAAAGUCGCUCCGGCCAGCGUGAGUCUGAUUCUGUCGUCCUGAGGUCUCGUGCAGUUCCAACUCAGUUCGAGUGCUUCGACGUCAUUGCUGAGGAAUGUGCUCCUAAGGACCCGGAUACAGACGGCUCCCGUUGUGUCAUUGGUCUCUUACGCACGGGAGGGCGAUGACUCAAGCAGUGAGAGUGAAGAUGAAAUGGCGGGAAGAGUGUCCAACGGCCAUCCCACAAGUCACAUUCUCUAUCCACUUCAAGAUGACAUCGAAGGUACAUCCCCGUUCAAUAGCGACUCUCCCCUCCCCCAGGGGCAACCACCACCGACAACCCGACGAAAUCCCACCGUCCACCUCGCGUCAACCUACCACCGGCUCCUUCCAGACAAUGCAAACCCGAGUUACAAUCCAAGAUAACUAAUUUAUUAAAAAAGCAAAGACAGAG